UGGGGAAUAUUGCGCAAUGGGCGAAAGCCUGACGCAGCAACGCCGUGUGAGGGAUGAAGGCUUUCGGGUCGUAAACCUCUGUCAGAAGGGAAGAACGGGCAUUGGUCUAAUAGGCCUUUGUUUUGACGGUACCUUCAGAGGAAGCACCGGCUAACUCCGUGCCAGCAGCCGCGGUAAUACGGAGGGUGCAAGCGUGAUUCGGAAUUACUGGGCGUAAAGCGCACGUAGGCCGCUUUGUAAGUCAGGGGUGAAAUCCCACGGCUCAACCGUGGAACUGCACUUGAAACUGCGAAGCUUGAAUCCUGGAGAGGGUGGCGGAAUUCCUGGUGUAGGAGUGAAAUCCGUAGAUAUCAGGAGGAACACCGGUGGCGAAGGCGGCCACCUGGACAGGUAUUGACGCUGAGGUGCGAAAGUGUGGGGAGCAAACA
rnacentral:rRNA from 1 species